rnacentral:misc_RNA from 1 species
AACCAUAGAAACCUGCGGAGUACCUGCGGAAGGAUCAUUAUUGAAUUUUCCUAAAGAAAAAUUUUGUGUUGUUCUCUCGAAAGAGAGUGGUGCAAUACAAGAUUUUUCUCAAACAAACGAUCACAACUAAUAAUUGAAUUGAAUUGGUGGUUUGGCUUGAUAUUAUAACAACAAGUGUUUGCCUGAUAAUCAAGAUGAUUUGGAUUGGAGAAAGAAAUACAACUUUUAACAACGGAUCUC